GUAAGAGAGUUCAAGUAAGUUUUUACCUAAUAUUGAGUGCCAAGAAUAAAAUAAAUUGACUUAAUGUGAUAGAGAUGGUUGGGCCACCUAGUUUAUCUAGGGCAGUAUGGUAGUGGAAGGCAGCUUUAGGAAAUACAACUGAAAUCUAGGAAGGAGGACUAUGCUGUUUUAACUGAAUAAGGUAGGAAAAUGAUACUAGCAGGAGAUUAACCUUUGCAAUGUAAUGUGGUCUCACCCAGAGACCAGAUCAUUAUCAGGGACUCUUCCCCCAAGAGGGGAAGAGGGCACUGCAAGAGGGGAGGUCAGGGACUGCCUCCACCCAUAGACAUCUGAAUCUUCCCCAUCUCAUGGUAGAACCAUGUGGAGUAGAUAAUGAGAAUAACUGAAAACCCACUCAGAAGCCAGGAGACCGGAGGAUUGGAACCUCCAGAGAGAGGAGAACUACAGGAGAGAGGGAGAGGAUGUAUGGAAGAUUGGCAAGAGGGAGUUACUCAUCAACCACUGAUGGGGUGGCCAUAUGGGGCUCCCAAAAAAGGGAUUGAGACCCGCUGCUGUAGUCAGUACCCAGGAAGGAGUUACCUAGUCUAGGGAUACCAACCUCAACUCCUCACCACACUUUGAAUGUUGUACAGCGUGGAUAACAUCACUGUAUGAGAUGCAUUACAUCACCUGGAUUUGAGUGAAGACCCAAUCGUACAGUCUUCUGGGUUUUGUGGGUGCCGAUUUGAGGCAGUGGUAGGACCCGAUCCUCCCUCACCACCCACAGUCAGUUGUCUGGAUCCUUCCAAUGGGGCUGACAGGUUGGAUCCCCAGAGGCAAUUCUACCAGAAAGACUUUGUCUUCUGAUCACUCUACUCCAUCCACACCAAAUUAUAUUCACUUUUUGAGAAAAUUAUAUUUUUUAGUCACUCAUUUCUGAACACAUCUUCCCCUACCCCAUGAAGAAUGUGUACAAUUAAGUUAACUAAAUCAGUCCAUGUCAGUGAUUCUGACCACAUCUACUUUGGCUGGUGCCAGGAUGUCCCUCUAGAUUUAAGAUGAACGAGGAUAAAUUAGUUCAUGAUAUGUGUUGAAAUUAUAGGAUCCUGUAGAAGAAAACCUUCAGUGAUGGGAACAUAUUAUUUUAGAGCUUAUAAAGAUUUCAAAUAUUGGAUUGGCAAAAAAGAAUUUAAAUGAUUGGAUCUAUUGUCUUUUAUUUUUUCAAACCUUAGAUAAAAUAUAAUUUAAAAACCACAGCCUUUGAGUGUUACUAGCUACUGGGAGUAGAAGAGGCAGCAGUGGUCCAGUUCCUACUUGCCAUACCUCUAGACCUCAUUCUGAGAGAAGAGGUUUGAGUUUGGGAAUAAUUUUAGCCCAUUAUUUUUCUGCCAUUUGCUGUUAUUGCCCUGAUUCAACCCAUAAACCGGGAUGUUACUCAAAAUACAAAAUAUUCUUAGGGGAGAAUUACUCCAUCAAACACAGGCACUAUAUAGGACUCUAAAAUGCUAAAAAGCUUUAACACAUUACAGAAAAGUUGAAGAAAAAUGUGGGCUUGGUAUUCUGGAGCUGCUGUCUUCCUUUAUCCCAUUUGUUUGUGACCUUGACUCUUUGAAUCAUGAUGUAAACCCAUGGAAUCAAAUCACUGACAUGCUUACGAUUCCCUAGUCCCAUUUGGUAGUUAUUAAUACUGUAGAGGUGGCAAGGACACUUUCAAUACACAGUGCCUCCUGUCAACAGAAAAUGGAAACCUUCCGGUAAAGUCCCCAGGGCACUGGCUUUGUCUUAAGUCUACACACUCUUAAAGUGGGGGUCUGAACUAUUCACCCUAAACUCAAUAUAAGUGAGGGAAAGAUAACAGUGUUGGAAUCCUUUGGGUUGGUAACAGAGAAUACCACUACUCCUACUACUACUACCACCACCAGUAAUAACAGUACAAACGAUAGCAAUUACCUGGUACUUACUAUGUUCUAGGGACUGUUCUAAGUGCGUCCCUAUGUUAACCAAUUUAAUCCUUAACAAAAGCAAUAGAUACCAUUACUACCCUCCUUUUAUAGAUGAGGAAACUGAGGCCCAGAGAGGUCACGAAUCUGAGAAGUGGGGGGGGAGUGGGGACAGGUGUUGGUACUGGCAGGUGAGUGAUACUGAUAAUAAAAGUGAAGAAGAUAUAAUUUUUCUGUGCGGUGAAGAAAGUCACUUGGGAAAAAACUGCUCCAUCUUUUGAGAGGAGAGAGUGGUGUCCAGCUCCCUGCCCCCCGGCCUUGGCGGCCCAGGCUCCACACCACCGUCAGAAGGACCAGGAUAGAGGCCAUGGGAGGUUGCUCUGAGACUUUUCUCGUGCACCACCAUGCAUCCCAGAAUCAUAAAAUGUUUAAGCUGGAAGGAUGGCUGGGGUUGCACUCAACUCCCUCAUUUUACAGACAGGGCCCUGAGUUGCCACGCAGACUUCAUGUUGAGUUACAGGCACACCUUUUCUUUGGUCCUAGGAAAGCCAACUUUCAGGGGCCAGUUAACUGAGCAGGCAUCUGGAGCCCAGUUUUUCGUGUCUUUCUUUACCUCCUGUUCCUGACAGGCAGGAAUGACCAGGAUAAAGUUUAGGAUAAAGGGGAGGAGAUUCUACCAGAUUUUAUGAAGAAACAUGUGACUGGGAAGGAGACCUUCAGGCGAGACUUAUUUAUAGCUCUGUGGAGUACAUGGAUUCUUGUUUAUGGGUAUGAGUAUUCAGGAACUAUGAAGCUUAAAUUCUUUUAAUGUUCUUAGUAGGUGCACUGGAGGAUUCAUUCUUUUAGUUUUCAUAUUGAUGCUAUUAGGAAAAGUCAGAUUUCUUCGCAGGAAGUCCUGCUGACCCCUCUUCAGGAGGGCUGCUAACCUGGGCAUUCUUUGCUGCUCCACAUUUCGGACACGGAAUCAUCACUGUUACCUGGACCCUUUGGAUGUGGACUGAUGGAUGCCAGUCUGGCAUGUUGGAGAGAAGGUGUGUGCUAAUGCUUGCUGUGUUUUAUCUGAUGGGCAUCUUGGCGUGAGAGAGGUUUAAACAUUUAUCAUAGUUAUUUCAUGACAAUACAUGGUGAAUUAAAAGUAAUGCGAUACAUGGUAAAACCUUCGAAGAAUACAAACAUAUUUCAGACUUAAAAGUGUCCUCCUGACUCCAGUUCUCCAAGUCCGCUGUCCUCCUUGGCAAAGGUAACCUGUAUUCCUAGUUUCUUGAGUGUCCCUGCAGAUAGUCUAUAUAUGUGGGUAUGUAUACUCUUAUAUAAUUAUUUUACACAAGUGGGAGAAUUUUGCAGAGGAGGUAUGCCAUAAGUGAAUGUGACUCAAAUCAACUGUAUAUAUCUGAAGUGAAAAAAAAAGUCCACUGCAUAUACUUGGAAAAACAACAACAAUAACAACAAUGAUAAUACCCAAACAAAAGAAACUAAAGCAGGAGGAAUCAGUGCUGGUGAUCUCACCUGCCAUUCCACUCAAUGCCUGAGCAGGAAAUGGACACAUCCACCCCUGUUCCUUCCGCUGGACUCACUCUCAGCACCUGCACAGCCUGCACCCAGGGUGAGGCUGCCUUUUAUUUUUAUUAUACUAUGGCAACAACACUUAACAUGACAUUUACCCUCUUAACAGAUUUGAAAGUGGGCAAUACAGUAUUGUUAACGGUAGGCACAGUCCUGAACUUGGUCGCCGUACAUUACUGAAAAUUUAUACCUGGUGAUAAGCAACUUCUCCUUUCCCCUUCCCCCAUGCCCUGGAACUUCCAUUCUAUUCUCUGAGUUUGACUAUUUUAGAUACCUCAUAGAAAUGGAAUCAUGCUGUAUUUGUCCUUCUGUGAUUGAUUGGCUCGUUUCACUUAGUGCGAUGCCCUCAAGUUUCAUCCAUGUUGCAAAAUUUCCUUCUCUUUUAUGGCUGGGGAGAGGUUGGCUUUUUUUUUUUUUUUUCAAAUAUUCCCUAAAUCUAGUUUAUUAUUUUUAUUUUGAUAGAUCUAAUGCUCCAAAUCUAAUGCAGUCAGGAAGUUUGUGUAAGUUAUUCAAAAGCACAGUCAAACAUAAACAUCAAUUGCAAAUUACUAUCUUAGGAAUUAAAAAUAUAGAGACAAAGGGAGAGUUACAAGUAAAUAGUUACAAAAAAGCAAUCAGCAUAUUUUCAUGUACCUGUUAGCCAUUUGUAUGUCUUCUUUGGGAAAAUGUCUAUUCAAGUCCUCUGCCUAU